UAUCAUUGUUUACUCUAAAGUUUGAUGUCCGCAGACAAAGAUGGAGCUUCCUGUGAAUGUUGGAAGGAGAUCAAGAAACAACUGAAGUAGUGGCUGCUGCUGCAAGGAGAAUCUAUUUGAAGAGUAUAAACUGACAAACCUACCCUCUCACUUAUGAAGUGUUAUUUUUCUUCUGAGAUUGUUUUAUGUUAAAAUUUUUGUUCUAUCCUAACCACGUGUAUUGUUGCUGGGGAUUUGCUCUGUUUUUGUCAAUUCCAGAGUAUUAAAGAGAGAACUAUUGUAUUUUUUACUUC